CGACUGAAUAGUGGGUGAUCCAGCGGUUACGCAAUCUGUAAGGAUGGGUAGUAGCUCUCUACAAGUAAUUUCGGCUCGCAGAAAUCUUCAAGCAUUUGGCAAUUUCAGAC
rnacentral:ribozyme from 1 species